GGUGGGUUGGCUCAGUGGUUAGAGCGUAGGUCUUGUAACUGAAAUGUUGUGGGAUCGAAUCCCGCUAGAGGCUG
rnacentral:tRNA from 1 species